rnacentral:lncRNA from 1 species
UGCAGUUGUAUUUUAAAACCAAGCCACCAGAGGCAACCAAACCACAGCCGCCUGCCUCUGCACCCAAUGGCACCACAGCACCUGGUGUUCCGCCAAGGCCUAUGCCCCCACCACCACAAGCUCCACUACCACCACCACCACCUCCUCCACAAGGGCUACCUCCCGGUGCACCUAUGGGUAAUCCUCCACGGGCCCCUCCACCUCCAAUGUCAGGAUCAAUGCCUCCACCACCUCCUAUGGCUGCAAACGGUCCUAGACCUGGUGCGAUGCCGCCUCUUCCACCGCCAGCCCCCAUUGGGACCAGACCUCCAUCAAUGCCACCUCCACAAGGUUUUCCAGGCCAACAAAUGCAGAGCUAAGGCAGUAUGCUGAUGAGUG